rnacentral:rRNA from 1 species
UACGUAGGGUGCGAGCGUUUGUCCGGAAUUAUUGGGCGUAAAGAGCUCGUAGGCGGUUUGUUGCGUCGGCCGUGAAAACCUGCAGCUUAACUGUGGGCCUGCGGCCGAUACGGGCAGACUUGAGUUCGGUAGGGGAGACUGGAAUUCCUGGUGUAGCGGUGAAAUGCGCAGAUAUCAGGAGGAACACCGGUGGCGAAGGCGGGUCUCUGGGCCGAUACUGACGCUGAGGAGCGAAAGCGUGGGGAGCGAACAGG